rnacentral:lncRNA from 1 species
CUGGGUAACAGGGUUAGACUCUUUGGAAGAGGAUCUAAAUCUCUGAGACCACAGAACUAUUUGAAUACUAACUACCUAGAGAACUUUCCACAUGUUAGGUACGAUUUUGGAUUCCUUCAUAGACGUACACAUACCCCAUCUUUGGGCAAGCCCUAAACUAUUAUAGGUUCCCAUACAACUCCUUCCCCAGUAGGUAAAUUUAGAACUUAUGAAUAAGGAAAAUAAGUCUCUAGCUUCUGCUUUUACUGAAGGAAGCCAAACAUAGCCACUAACACUAUUCACUCCUUACUUCAAAGAGUGAAUUGAGAAAGAAAAUAAGUUAUUUACUCCAUUGUUAUACUCUGAACUUCUAUAAAUUGGUGGUAGAAAAUCUUAAUACAUAGUAUUUAGCCAUACUUUGUAUUUAUUUAAUAUGAACUGAACACAUCUUGCAAGCAUUCUCCCUCUCUAGCUCACCUUGCAUUUGGAGUGUAAUAACCCUAGAUGAGAGUAUUUCUGAAGGUAAACCACUACUUCAGGAGAUAACUUCUUUUUCAAUUUAAUGAAAACCUUCUUGCCUGGGAAGAUUCUUGCAUGUGAACAUUUUUCUCUAAAGACUCUUUAAAGCUUGGUUUUGUUUUAUUUUGUUUUGUUUUGUUUUGUUUACUUUCUUGGUUGCAGAUUCAUUUGUUUGGUUAAACUCCAUAAGCUUGCAGUGGUAAAAUUUGAGCAACUGAAUUUGCCAAAUCACUGCUAAUUCCUGUGCACAUACUCCUUUGUGGAUGUACCGUAACUGACAGGUUUAACAAAACUAAAACUCUAAUGUGUAACCUGUACUAUAUCCAUGCAAUAGACAGUCUUUCUUAAUAAUCAAAUGGCUUUUUCCUUUUACUCCCUAAUCUGACUUUAUUGUUCAAAAUGACUUACAUCUUAUCCAUAAAGGAGAGAAAUAGUGUAUUUUGCUUUUCUUUAUUUUAGUUUGCCUUUUCAGAGGCUUUUUAAGUUGAUCAGUGUAAAGUAACGUCCCUUUUCUUGAAUAUUUUUUACUGAUGGUCUUGCUUCCAUUAAUCAUUUCUCCACGAAAACAUCAUGUUUCUAGAAUUAGUCUUUUUGAGCUAUCAGACCACAUUUGGAGGAGAAACAUGAUGGAACUGCUUACAUGUUAAAAUGAACCACUAGAAAUGAAUUUAAUGUAUUUUAAAAUUUCAGAAUUCUAGUCCCUAAAUGGUUUUGUAUUUGUAUUCAGUAGACACUAUUCAGAAUAGUUAAAACAUAAAUACAUUACACUCUAGGCAUCUGUGAACAAUGUUUUGUUCUCUUUUCAAUGUGGCUAUAUGUUCUAACUUUAGCAGGAUUUAAAGAUUAUAAGAUGGCUAAAGUAAGAUAAUUAAAUCUUUUAUAUGUGAUUUAUUAAAACAUAAAAGAAUUUCUGCAUACAUUUCAACAAUUUCUUCCCCCUCAAAAGUAUAUAACUCCCAUGUAUUUCCAUAGUAUGAGAGCUGAGUUUUGGAAAUAAAAUUAUCCCUUAUUCUGAAAGGUCAGAUAUGAGGCAAAUUGAUGGGAAAGAGAAUGCAUGGAAAAGUAGGGUAGAGAAGAUGGGCAACAUGACAACUGGAAAAAUGGGCUUUUACCACCCAACAUAGUUAUCACAUAUUUUGUGUUUGUUAAAUGAAUACUUUUUGGUAAAAUUUGGGGGUAUUUCCAAGUUUUAAUAGCACUUGAUAAGCCAUCUAUAAUGUAUACAUUUUAAAACAAGAUACAUUAUAAAAUUGAUUACAAU